rnacentral:rRNA from 1 species
UACAGAGGGUGCAAGCGUUGUUCGGAAUUAUUGGGCGUAAAGCGCGUGUAGGCGGCUUUGCAAGUCGGGUGUGAAAGCCCUCAGCUUAACUGAGGAAGUGCGCCCGAAACUGCAUGGCUUGAGUACCGGAGAGGAUGGUGGAAUUCCCGAAGUAGAGGUGAAAUUCGUAGAUAUCAGGAGGAACACCGGUGGCGAAGGCGGGUCUCUGGGCAGUAACUGACGCUGGGGAGCGAAAGCGUGGGGAGCGAACAGG